rnacentral:rRNA from 1 species
CGGACGGGUGAGUAACGCGUGGGUAACUUGCCUCAUACAGGGGGAUAACAGUUAGAAAUGACUGCUAAUACCGCAUAAGCGCACAGGAUUGCAUGAUCCGGUGUGAAAAACUCCGGUGGUAUGAGAUGGACCCGCGUCUGAUUAGGUAGUUGGUGAGGUAACGGCCCACCAAGCCGACGAUCAGUAGCCGACCUGAGAGGGUGACCGGCCACAUUGGGACUGAGACACGGCCCAA